UCACUAUUUCUUUCCAUUCUACCAUGCUCUUUUACUUGUUUCAGUCAUUUGACUGUGACCAUGCUGGAGCACCGCCUUUUGUCGAAGAAAUCGACCCCAGGACUUAUUCUUUGCACAAGGCCUGAAAUUUUGGGGGAGGUGGCCAGUCUAUUAGAUCAACCCCAGUACGCAACUGGUACUUAAUUUAUCGACCCCGAAAGGAUGAAAGGCAAAGUCGACCUCGACGGAAUUUGAACUCAGAACGCUAAGACAGACGAAAUACAGCUUCAACAUUAGGAGCAGUGACUUCUAAGGAGAUUAAAAAAUGUUGAAGUACACAUUUGCUCCCGAAGAAGAAAAGAAGGGGCAGCACCUACUCUUAAUUGAAACAGAUUCUAGGUCCAGAGAGAAAGGACACCAGAGACGAGACUCGAACUUGCUUCUUUCCACGAACGCCAAAUAAAAAGCUUCUCUGACCCAUGCGCAGCUUCUGUCUCCUUCAUGUGACGUCAGUUCCUCUUUCGAUUUCAACCAAUAACAACUAAGCAUUAAUGUCACAUGCUUCUAAAAGUGUUGCUAUGAUGACAUUGCUGCUAUACUGUUGUCGUAGAGGAUUUAUUUUUUAUUAACUCAAACUAGUCUAACCACAUAAACUACAAUAUAUUUUGACCAACUAUAUAUAUUCAAAUAUAAAUUAGAAGCAGCUGGAGGUAAAUAAACAAAAUCGAACAUACAUACACAAAGUAUGUGUGUUGUUAGUUUGUGAGUCAGCUGCGGUUUUUAGGCGUAAGAGAAUAUAUUCUCUAUACCCCUGGUGUAAAAGACACCUGAAAGUAAGUCAUAAAUAUAUAUGUAUAUAUAUUGUGAAAGUAAAAGGGAAAUCAUGAGAGUUGUCUUUCCUGGUGUAAUAAAUCCUAUAAUUCUUUUGA